rnacentral:rRNA from 1 species
CUACGGGAUGCAGCAGUGGGGAAUAUUGCACAAUGGAGGAAACUCUGAUGCAGCAACGCCGCGUGGAGGAUGACACUUUUCGGAGCGUAAACUCCUUUUAUAUAGGAAGAAGAUGACGGUACUAUAUGAAUAAGCGCCGGCUAACUCCGUGCCAGCAGCCGCGGUACUACGGAGGGCGCAAGCGUUACUCGGAAUCACUGGGCGUAAAGAGCGUGUAGGCGGAUUAAAAAGUCAGAAGUGAAAUCCUAUAGCUUAACUAUAGAACUGCUUCUGAAACUCUUAAUCUAGAAUAUGGGAGAGGUAGAUGGAAUUUCUGGUGUAGGGGUAAAAUCCGUAGAGAUCAGAAGGAAUACCGAUUGCGAAGGCGAUCUACUAGAACAUUAUUGACGCUGCGACGCGAAAGCGUGGGGAGCAAACAGGAUUAGAUACCCCAGUAGUC